GACGAACGCUGGCGGCGUGCUUAACACAUGCAAGUCGAACGGAAAGGCCCUGCUUUUGUGGGGUGCUCGAGUGGCGAACGGGUGAGUAACACGUGAGUAACCUGCCCUUGACUUUGGGAUAACUUCAGGAAACUGGGGCUAAUACCGGAUAGGAGCUCCUGCUGCAUGGUGGGGGUUGGUAAGUUUCGGCGGUUGGGGAUGGACUCGCGGCUUACCAGCUUGUUGGUGGGGUAGUGGCUUACCAAGGCUUUGACGGGUAGCCGGCCUGAGAGGGUUACCGGCCACAUUGGGACUGAGAUACGGCCCAGACUGCUACGGGAGGCAGCAGUGGGGAAUAUUGCACAAUGGGCGGAAGCCUGAUGCAGCAACGCCGCGUGCGGGAUGACGGCCUUCGGGUUGUAAACCGCUUUCGCAUGUGACGAAGCGUGAGUGACGGUAAUGGGUAAGGAAGCACCGGCUAACUACGUG
rnacentral:rRNA from 1 species